rnacentral:tRNA from 1 species
CAAUGAGUAUUUUAUUUAAAAUAUUAAUUUUGGGGAUUAAAGAAAAAGUACAUUCACUUUCUUGUUGA